rnacentral:rRNA from 1 species
UACAGAGGGUGCAAGCGUUGUUCGGAAUUAUUGGGCGUAAAGCGCGUGUAGGCGGCUUUGCAAGUCGGGUGUGAAAGCCCUCGGCUCAACCGAGGAAGUGCAUCCGAAACUGCAGUGCUUGAGUACUUAAGAGGAUCGCGGAAUUCCCGGUGUAGAGGUGAAAUUCGUAGAUAUCGGGAGGAACACCAGUGGCGAAGGCGGCGAUCUGGGAAGAUACUGACGCUGAGGUGCGAAAGCGUGGGGAGCAAACAGG